rnacentral:rRNA from 1 species
CCUACGGGGGGCUGCAGUGGGGAAUAUUGGACAAUGGGGGGAACCCUGAUCCAGCCAUGCCGCGUGUGUGAAGAAGGCCCUCGGGUUGUAAAGCACUUUCAGUGAGGAAGAACGCCUGGUGGUUAAUACCCAUCAGGAAAGACAUCACUCACAGAAGAAGCACCGGCUAACUCCGUGCCAGCAGCCGCGGUAAUACGGAGGGUGCGAGCGUUAAUCGGAAUUACUGGGCGUAAAGCGCGCGUAGGUGGCUUGAUAAGCCGGUUGUGAAAGCCCCGGGCUCAACCUGGGAACGGCAUCCGGAACUGUCAAGCUAGAGUGCAGGAGAGGAAGGUAGAAUUCCCGGUGUAGCGGUGAAAUGCGUAGAGAUCGGGAGGAAUACCAGUGGCGAAGGCGGCCUUCUGGACUGACACUGACACUGAGGUGCGAAAGCGUGGGUAGCAAACAGGAUUAGAUACCCCUGUAGC